CUCACAGGAGGACGAUAGUGAUGAUUUAAGGUAUGUAGUAGUGAACAAAAAAAACAAUCUUAAAACAAAAAGAGAAACUGAUGGCAAUAGAAAUAAAUAUGUAGUCCGGAAAAUGGAUCUGACAAAGCUAUAGUACUUUCAAAGUGGCUCCUAAAAAGACAUUCUUAUGUUUUUCGACUUGAUCUAGAGACCACUUGUAAAAACAGAUUUUCCAGAUGUUAAAUGUUAAACGAUUUGGUUAACAAGAAAAACACAAUGGAUGCCAACAGAUAGUCACAAGGUACUUAUAUAUGGCGUUUUUUUCGAAGAAAAGCGAGGAAAGAAGGAAACACAUCCAGCACAGCAAAAAGUGUUCAUCAAGAUUUUAUCUGCGAAUGUCUAGUUCUUGAGGAAUAAACUUAAUUGUGUCAAGUAUUUUUUACUUAGAUCAAUACUGUGUAAAUUCGUAUAAGGUAGAAAUAAUUAUGCUUUAAAUUAAAUCAUUAAGAUUAAA